UUGAAUGUUGAACUGAUGUGUUUGUGAAGUUGCCCUGCAAUUUUUAAUUUUAUUGGAUGCCCAAAUUGAGACUGUGAAACUGAUAAAGAGUAUAAAUCUGUGAAUUGGCAUGGUGAUGAAUUUUAUCUGUUUUAAAUUGAGUUGCUGACUGAAAUUGAAUGUGAUAUUGUUGAAUUGAUGCUUCUAAAUUUUCAUAGUGAUUAUUAGAUGGAAAACCGAGGAAAAUAAAACCAGAUUUAUUAAUUUUAAAUUUAGAUGUCAUGGUUACUCUUUGAAGGAUAGCGGUUGAAGAGCACGAAGGUAAGGAUAGUGCAUCAUGGUAUGGUAUGUUUGACGAGUGGGGUUGGAGGAUAAGUGAUAAAGAAAGAAGAGAAUGGAUGUGUGAAUGCAGAGGAGUGUCGGCUAUGGAUGAGAAAAGAGAUAGAGAAUGGGGUAAAGGUGGGUAUUGGCGUGGGCAUGAAAGUGGGUUUCAUGGGUUGAAUGAGAUGAUGAGUUACAAAGAGAGGAAAAAGCUAAUUUUUUUUAGUCUACGUGAAUAAUGUAAGAGAGUGUUACAUGAUUUUGUGAUUUAGGAAAAAAGAUAGCAAAAGAAGUUUAUGUUUCUGAAGUUGAAAAGAAGAGGAAGAAUUUUAGUGUUUAAGUGGAGGUGUGAGGGAGUUAGCUUUUAGGGAAUUUAAUAUUGGAAAUGUUUUAAUGGGUUGGGUGCAGAGAAAAAUGUACUUAAGUCAAUAUAAUAUAUUAUUGUAGUAUUGUGGAUUUAGUUUUAAACGGAAAAGUGUUCUGGAAUGUGUGGAAAAUAUAAGGAAAAAUGGAGGUUGGAGAGUUUAAGGAGGAAGAAGGGUUGCUUUUGAAGUUUGCAUAAAAGAUAAGUGGAUGCAUGGAAGAUGUUAGUGUGGGAAGAUGUGAGAAUAUGAAGUGAUUGGACUAUGUGGUAGAAAGUUUGUAGAACCCGUGGGACCCACUUAAGUGGGAAAAGAGUUAGGGUGCGUCUACUUGGAAGUGAUUGAGGGAGAGUGAUUGAGGGAAAGUGAUUGAGUGGAUUUGAAGGUGAUUUUUUUUGUGUUUACUUGAGUGGAUUUAAAGGUAAUUGAGAGUGGAUUUGAGGGUGAAGUUUGUGAGAAUUAGUGUAGGAUUUGAUAGAUGUGACAGUGUUAAAAAAUUUAUUUAAUUGGUAGAAAUUAAAGAUUACUAAAAUGCC
rnacentral:lncRNA from 1 species